rnacentral:rRNA from 1 species
UACGAAGGGGGCUAGCGUUGCUCGGAAUCACUGGGCGUAAAGCGCACGUAGGCGGCUUUCUAAGUCAGGGGUGAAAUCCUGGAGCUCAACUCCAGAACUGCCUUUGAUACUGGAGAGCUUGAGUCCGGGAGAGGUGAGUGGAACUCCGAGUGUAGAGGUGAAAUUCGUAGAUAUUCGGAAGAACACCAGUGGCGAAGGCGGGUCUCUGGGCCGAUAUUGACGCUGAGGAGCGAAAGCGUGGGGAGCAAACAGG